UUUAAAAAAUUAAAAGUUAUUGUUAUUUUUAAUAAAAAUAUUUAAAAUAUUAAAUUUUAUUGUUAUUUUUAAUAAAAAUAUUUAAAUUAAUAAUUUUUAUUAUUAAUAAUACUAUCUGUGGGUCUAGCGGAUCACCCGUGGGUUUAAAUGGGAUGGGUGCGAAUUUCAUAUUUUCUUCUAGCGGGUGAAGCGGGACGGGUUUGACCCGCAACCCAGCUCUAAUCUAAUGUCAUACAAUUUAAUAUAGGGAAUGAAGAGGGGGCUAGGAUCUUCUUCUGCAGAUUAAGUAACUACCCGUCUCUAUUUCUAUGAAUAAAUCAUAUUAAAUUGUUAGUAUUAUCAAAAAGGACAUUAUUAUCAAAAAAAGGAAGAAAAGAGAGUACGAGUCGAACCCGUGUAUUAUUAUCCAUAUAUACAUCAAUAAACUUGUACAAUAAUACGUAGAAACCGGAUAAUUUUUUAGAUAUAUGAGCAAGAAUUCACAUGUACACUUUAUAGUUUGUUAGAUACAUUUAUUCUUGUAUGAAAGUAUGGUGAAAUUUGGUUGAAUUUAAGAGUUUAAAGAACAUAUGUAAAUGUACACAUGUAGUUUAAAGAACAUAUGUAAACGGACACAUGUUCAGUUAGAUGUUAAUGUACACAUGUACACUUUAAAGUUAAUAUACAUAUGUACAUUAUGAAGUUGAUGUACACAUGAAACUAGCAUGAAAACACACAUACUAAUUAGACGCUCUUAAACAAGGUGUGAAGGAUGAUAUUUGGGUUCAGUCAUAUAUCAAAGAUGCCCGACCCUGUGUGUACAUGGGAAGAAGAUAAAAAAAUUCAAAUGUACAUUGUGUUAACAUUAUCUUGAGUUCAUGAAGUCGCAGAGGCUUAGUUAUUUAGAUAGAAAGGCUACAAAAAAGCCAAAAAUGUGUACACAAUCACUCUGUUGUAUAAUACAAAACUAGGUGUACACAUGUACAGUUUGAAUGUAAUGUACACACGACAUUUUUUCAUUAAUGUUGCAAAAUUACGAAAAUAACCUCAUCUUCUUCCUUAGCCAUUGUCGACCAGAAACCCUAAUCUCCGCCUAUCUCGCCUAUUUUCCACAAUUCUUUACAUUCUCAACUUGUUUUUUUGUGUAUUUUUACCCAGAUGUGAUAGCUUUCAAUCCUAAUUCAUGGCUUUAAUCUUAAAAGUUCAAACUAAAGUGAUUUUUUUGGUUUCUAAUUUGUUGAACGAUUUGUUCCAUCAAAAAUAUAGCUUGACAUAUCUCAAAAAAUAGAUUGAAUAAUAAAACCACUGAUUAUAAACAUAUUUUCUUCAAAAAAUUUUUAGAAAAAACAAUAUUCAUUUUGCAAAAAGAAAUAAGGAACUCAAUAGGAAGAAAUGAAAAAGAUGAUACAUGGGAUCCACUUCCUUUUGUUUGCUAUGAAGAACCAUGAAUAAAUCCUACAAAAGUCAGAUAUUAAAUUAGUUAAGGUGAUAUCAUUUAGUUAUAAGCUUAUUUAGUUAGUUUAUAACUAAAAAGUGAGAUUGGUUAAGAAAAACUACCCUAAUAGCACAAACUGCUCCAUAAUGUAAAAUAAACUCAUAAACUGUCUCUGAAUGUAAUUCUCUCAAGAUAAAAUGUGAACUUAUGAAAUUUGGUGCCGAUAAAACUUUUAUGAAAUUUGGUGCCUAAAGCUCUUGUUUUAUGGGCUUUAGCCCAGGGUCGGCUCUGCUACUACUACUAAAUUAUAUAUCGUUUUCUUAUAUAUGGAUUGGAAUCAAUCUUUGGAUUUAGCUGCAUGUUAACUUGGAUUUAAGUAUUUAAAAAAAAAACUAUUGGUCCAUCAAAUAUAUGAAUGCAAACUAUUGGAGCAUCCAUUUUACACCCUUCAAAGACAUAAAAACUACAUUUCGAGCAAACCAUGUGUAUUCAGAUUUCAUAAGCUAAAAAGUUCAUAUCGACAUUCCAAGAUAGAAAAAUGUCUGGUUAUUUUCUCAAUUAACAAUGUAUAUCUAGUUUAACUUCAUUUCUUUAUUAUAUAUCUUUCCGCUAAACUUCAUGAGAGACCUGAGGUACACAAGUUUCACGAUAAUAAGAUGAACUUAUUACUAUCCAAGAUCAUCUUUGAUUCAUGAGCAAAGCCGAGCAGAACAAUACGACAGAACCAAUGAUUAAGAAAGGGUUUGUGCAAAAAAAAGAGAAAUCAAGUUAAUAAGUAACUUUUUGUUCUUUUUUACUUCUAAGCAGAGAUUCUCUGAAACCCCAAACAUACAAAUAAAGCAGUACCUCAAAGUUCCAAAAAAAAAAA